CGGGCCCGGCGCGCACCGAGGGGCAGGCAGCGGACACAGGGUGGCUCUCACAUGGGAGCUCAGCAUCCCUUAAGGGAUGUUCAUGGAAGCACUGUUGCUAUGGAGAAAGCUCCGGAGACAACCUGAUGGUCAUGGGGAGAAAGUGGUUAAAUAAUCCACGGUGUAUCCACACUACGAAACUAUGCAGCUGGAAAAGAAUGAGGGCCUGAUGUGGACACACUUAGCCAGGCACCAGAAGUACAGUGCGAGGAAGAGAAUAUACAUAUGUACACGCACAGAAAGCUUCUGGAAGGAUCCACAAGCUAACAAUGCAAGGGAUGGAAAAAUCACGCUGGCUCUCCAGCCCAGAUGGGCUGACUCACACUCAGUCCUGGGCUGGGGGCCUGGUGAGCUCCCCACAAAGCCCUUGGGGCCAGAUGGGAGGUUGGACCCUGGCAGCAGAGGCAGGAGAGGGUCC